GGAUUGUGGCUCAGCGGUAGAGUGCUCACCUAGUAUGGGCGGGACCCGGGUUCAAUCCUUAGCACCA
rnacentral:tRNA from 1 species